AGAGGUCAAAUCAAUUGUCAAAACACCCUUGCCAGAGGAUGGUCACAGAAUCUCACUUCGUGACCCGACUAUUCUGUCUCUCAGGAUCUGUCCUGCAGAGCAUGACAAAUCCGGACAUGGAGAAUCUCACAGCUGAACAGCAUUGGAAACACAUCGAAAUGAAAGUUCUCUCCUAUAAUACAAAGAAACCCCCUAUUUUCCAGAGUCUCUUGUUGCAAUGAUGCAGUUGUUCACCUCUUAUUGAGUUGGACUCGAUCAAUACCGGCAAUCUAGCCCUUGAAACUUUUAAAACAUUGAAUUGCAUCUGCAAACAGUUUGGGCUCUGCCAGCUAAGCUGAAUCCUCUGACUGUUUUGGCCUUUUGUGGAGUGUUGUUGUGCUCCGUAAGGGAAAACAAGAUGCGCUUCUGAGCUGAAUAGCAAAGUGGACUGCUGCUGCUGCUGCUUCUGCUGCUGCGGUUACGAGGCCUCCCCUGACACUCACAUCCCGUAUUCAGGAAAACUGCUUCAAAGUCGCCUUACCCAUCAGCAUCAGCACCACCUUAGCUCCUUCUCACCAGUCAAUCUAUUGAUCCAGUUUGCAACAAGCCAAGCAAAUUAGCUUUUGACUUAAAACUGAAGUGACAGGGGGAAAAUUGAAAUCUUUAUCGUAAUCUGCAGUUACUGAGGUGUAGUAGAUGUCUCCAUACAAUCUCCUGUGAAUUUCACAAAGCCCUCACUCCCUCUCCCAUGAGCGAAGGGUGAUGUGUGAAAACUCUUUUAUGAGACAGGGAGAACUUUCUUUCAUUAGCUAAAAUGUUUGAUCCAUAAUAUAUGAUCCAGCAAUAUAUACAUACGCAGAUGAAUAUUCAUUCAAAGACCUGCGCAAACAAAGCAGCCAGAAUGUGCAGGUGCCCUUUUAAUUGGCAUGUUGUUUACGCUUAGCGUAAUAAGGGGGAGGUUUGGGAGGGUGGUGGUGAAGCAAGAGAAUGAUGGUAGGGGGUCGGGGUAGGGGGGCUGCUGAGUGUUAGACUCGACUGGAAGUUAAUUAAGCCGGCAACAGUGCUCCAUCACUCAAGCACGGUCCCAGAACUGUCAUUCAAGUGCAGCGCUCUCCAGGCAGCCAUUACUGAGGCGUAUCGAUCGCCAUCGUGACAAGGUGGUGCACCAAAUGGGAGCGGGCAGAGAUGACGGCUUUGAGAGAGAGUGUGUGUGUGUUUGCGGUUUAGGGUGUGGGGAAAGAGUGGGUGAGGUGUUUCCAAGCACAUAAACCCAGCAGCAGCAGCAGGAGAGAGUACCGCCACGCUCCCCAAACAUGAAUUAAAAUGCAGGUAAAUACACAGCAGCAGAGCCGCUUGAUUGCAUUUCCUUCCCUGGGUAGCUGCAGCCUUAAUAGAUGAAUAUGAAAUCUUCAGAGUCAAUAUAUAUGCAGUUAAGUGGUGAGGAAAAGAGGCAGUGGUAAUGGCCUCCAGAAAUCUCCCUCGCAUCUUUUACUUUGGGAAAUAUUGUCCUCAACUCACAUUCAGACUCUUAAAUAGUUUUCUCCUCAGCUGCAGGACCACGUACCUGACCCCAGGAGUUUUUUUUGCAUCACUAGGUGUCCAUGGGAAUGAGUGACUCAGAGGUGAUGGCUGCAAAGGAUCAUGGGAUUCUUGCCAACUGAAUUUUUUAAUCCCCAGCCAAAGCAUGCACAAGAUUUCUAAUAAAAAAGAGGGUUCCUGGUUUAAACGAGUCAAGUGUUGUAUUUCCUGUUAAUGUUUGUUGAUUUCCAAGAAAAAGACAACAUUCAGCCCUGUUUCACAUCUCUGCUUGGAAACCACGACAUUAAACAGUCAUCCAGGGCCUAAUUUGACUUGAUGGGCUGUUUUGACGAACUUAAUAAAGCCUCAAGCAGAGUUGAAGCACGUUCACAGCAGAUAAUCUCAUGGCAGCACUAGUUCACAGUGUUUUUCCAAAAGUCAAUCUAUGAUUAUGGUUGAAAGUUGAUUUUUGGCGUCAACAAAACAAGGCCUGAAAAAUCAAUUAAGAAGCCAUCUUCAUCGUCUUUGUUUAAUGUUUCCAAUCCCUCAAUUUAAAAAUGAAAAAUAUAUAUACACUGUCUUGGAUUUCUUUUAGGUUUGGUUUUCUGAAUAAAAGAGGGUCAGAAACAUGUUUGAAACAUUAAAAACAACAUGAAUAUGACAGAUAUUCCAUCAAUCAUGUUAUUGGUCUUGAUUAAUAUAGAUCAGAGAUUCAUGCGACUACAAGUAAAUCUAGUAUUUAGAGCCCAUGUGGGGAGAUUUGACUGUAAGACAAACUCAAAUGUCGUCACAAGUGUCAUUGUUUUUAGAAAUCUAACCAGACCAUAGACUGUAUUUACUCUAGACAACUUGGUUCCGCCUCCCACCUGUAUACAGAUUUGAAGCCAAAAAGCUCUCGGUAUUUCCGUGAUUUUUCUUCAUUUCUUGAAACCAACAUUAGGCAGUACUGUUGCACAUAUUCAGCGUAUCCUUCGAGUGAUCUACGCAAUCCUUCAACGCCAAUAGGCUGUACGAAUUGUCAAUCAUAGAAAACAUGAACCCUCUAAUAACUUUUAAAAAUGGAGUUUCACAGAAAAAAGAGGACUUGAACACAAACCAGUCUUACUGUAACUACAUGUCAACAUCGCAAGUAGGGGGAAGAAAAAGUCUCAGAGUGGCUUCACCCAGCAAGGAGGCAGACACUGUCCAUUCUAUAUACAGUCUAUGAACCAGACUCAUUGAUGGAAAACAAAAUAUUCUUCCAUAGCUGUAGACCCCCAAAAUGCUAUAAUGCUCUUCUCCCAGGUGGUGUCUGCUAUUUUGCUAUCUGAAAAAUGGCGAUAAAAGUUGGAUGUUGGAUGUGUCUGACCUGCAGUGGAGUCUGAAGGCUGGUGGUGCUAGCUCUGCAAGUGUUAGCCACACCAUACAAGCCAAUCUGUCAGUAUC
rnacentral:lncRNA from 1 species